rnacentral:lncRNA from 1 species
UGAGAGCAAAGGACUAAAGCUGAAAGCACUGGGACUUAACCUGUGUUGGCGGAUGCUGAGAGUUGCAGAUUGUUUGCAGCCACGCUGAGCACCAGGUCCUGAGUGGUGGAGGCACCUAUGUGGUCUUCAGGGGCUUUGGAUCGACAGUCAGGGAAGUCUGGGGAAAAUGCUAAGGAAGGGCAAUAAUAUUUAACAGAGUACUUGAAACAUAGUAGUUCAAACAACUGGAGGUGCAAAACGUAUUGAUGAUUUUGCUAAAGAAAUGGUGAUGGAGACUAUUAUAACAUCACUUAAAAAUUUUUGUAUGGACAGAGUUGAUUUCACUUAUGUUUUCACAUUUCAGUUUAGCUUUAAAUUUUUAAAAUAUGUUAAUUCAAUAACAUGUUGGUAUUAUUAGAAAUGAUGCUGUUUAAUUAUUAAUAAUGUUCUAAAGUGUGGCAAAGCAAAAGACUCUUGUUUAUGCAACAGGUUAGGGGAGCAUGAAGACCUCACAGAGAUUUUACAUUGGACCCGUUUAGACCAGUUGUGCCAUACUUGGCUUACCAAAUGGAACCUCAUCUUGUCCGUAUCUUUCUACCACUGCCACUUAAUUUGAGUUUACUGAGAGCAGUUUUUUUCCCCCUGGAUUUUGGUUACUAAACAGAUGGAACUUCUCCAAGUUCAAGACAGCACCUUGGUGCAGAGCCAACCCCAGGUCCAUGUUUUGGCUGCAGCGCGUCCUCUCUGAAAGGAAUAAGACACAGUGAAGAGCCUCCGUGCCAUGGCUGGAAGAGGAUGCCAUCCUCACUGCAGAAACGUUGGGGAAUUUGUGCUAGACUAGAGCAGGCAGCGCGCGUGGGAGAAGAGCUCCAGGACGUCCUGACCCUCCUUCUCCCCAGGAAGCAGAGUCCUAGAAUCAUUGAUGGAGAGCCUGGAUCCUGCUACUGUCUCCUAAUUAGGAAGAACAGAAAUGAAAGGAUGGCUAUAAUGGAAGACAGAUAGACAAGUGUUGGCGAGGAUGUGGAGAGACUGGAACCCUUAUACACUGUUGGUGGUAACGUAAAAUGGCGCAGCCACUUCGGAAAACAGCCUGGCAUUUUUCCAAAGGUUAAAGAUAGAGUACCCUGAUGACCCAGUCAUUCUAACCAACAGAAAGGAGAACAUAUCCCCACAAAAGCUUGUACAUGAAUGUUCACAGCAGCGUUAUUCAUAACAGGCAAAAAGUGGAAACAGCCCCAAAUGUCCAUCGACUAGUGAACGGUGAAACAGAAUGUCUUAUAUCCAUAUAAUGGAAUCCUGCUUGGCAAUCAUAGGAAUAAAGUACUGAUAUGUGCUACAACAUGGAUGAACCUUGAAAACGUUAUGCUUAAGUGAAAGGAGCCAGUCACAUGAGACCACAUAAUGUAUGGUUCCAUCUAUAUGAAAUGUCCAGAAUCAGCACAUCCCUGGAGACGGGAAGUAUUUUAGAGCUUGCCUAGGACUGAAGG